AUUGAACGCUGGCGGCAGGCCUAACACAUGCAAGUCGAGCGGGGUUUUCGGACCUAGCGGCGGACGGGUGAGUAAUGCGUAGGAAGCUACCCGAUAGAGGGGGAUACCAGUUGGAAACGACUGUUAAUACCGCAUAAUGUCUACGGACCAAAGUGUGGGACCUUCGGGCCACAUGCUAUCGGAUGCGCCUACGUGGGAUUAGCUAGUUGGUGGGGUAAUGGCUCACCAAGGCGACGAUCCCUAGCUGGUUUGAGAGGAUGAUCAGCCACACUGGAACUGGGAAACGGUCCAGACUCCUACGGGAGGCAGCAGUGGGGAAUAUUGGACAAUGGGCGCAAGCCUGAUCCAGCCAUGCCGCGUGUGUGAAGAAGGCCUUCGGGUUGUAAAGCACUUUCAGUAGGGAGGAAGCGUUGUGUGUUAAUAGUACACAGCGUUGACGUUACCUACAGAAGAAGCACCGGCUAACUCUGUGCCAGCAGCCGCCGUAAGAC
rnacentral:rRNA from 1 species